AGGAAACACAGAAUCAGGUUCAUCCUUUGCGGACACCAUUACAGCUCUUUCUGCUGUUCCUGGAGGACCAUCAAGAAUUUUAAUCCGAGCUCUCGUUUCCUCAACUAUUUUCUUGAUAAACUCACCUUUGCGACCGAUUAUACUGCCAACCUUUUGGGCAGGAACCAACAUUCGGAAAACACUCUCUCCUGGCCAUCCAGGCCACUUCUUCUCACUUACAACAGUUAGAGGAUCCUCAUUAUGCACCUGUUUUGGCUCAGACUCUAA
rnacentral:misc_RNA from 1 species